UACUCGCACUUUUCCCCCAUUUUCCCGGAAAAUUCAUGUGCUAUACCCACACAAACAUACAUAUAUAUACCCAACAGGCUCUUCAUCAUCCUCAAUAUCUUUUUUGCACUAGUUUCUUUGAAUUUCCUCUAUCAUCCUGCCGAUUACUUUCUAUUGUCAUUAAUUCCUUUCAUUUCUUUUUGUUUGGUUUUUGGAAUUUUGGAUUUUUUUUGAUUGGAAAAAUGAACUCCAUGAAAUUGUUGGCUCUUCGGAUUAUUGGGUUCUUGUUUUUGGCACUUUUACAAGUCAGCCAUGGACAGGGGCUUGGUCCUUCACCUGCGCCAAAUGCCCCAGCCAGUGAUGGCACAGCUAUUGAUCAAGGAAUUGCUUAUGUCCUCCUACUUGUAGCACUCGCGAUUACAUACCUCAUCCACUAAUGUUUUAUUUUCUCUCAUUCUUUAUAUUUUCUUCUAUACAUAUUAUUCAAAUCUUUGACCUUUUUCCCUUCUGUUUAUUUGGAGAGAAAGUUUCGGUGACUUUGAGUUUCUAUAUU